AGCGCAGUGUAAGUGGUUCAAGCGUUGGACUAUGACUCUGGAGACCAGGGUUCGAAUCCUGGCUGGGCCA